rnacentral:piRNA from 1 species
AUAUCUCCUGGAGCAAACCUGACU